GACGAACGCUGGCGGCGUGCCUAAUACAUGCAAGUUGAGCGCUGAAGGUUGGUACUUGUACCAACUGGAUGAGCAGCGAACGGGUGAGUAACGCGUGGGGAAUCUGCCUUUGAGCGGGGGACAACAUUUGGAAACGAAUGCUAAUACCGCAUAAAAACUUUAAACACAAGUUUUAAGUUUGAAAGAUGCAAUUGCAUCACUCAAAGAUGAUCCCGCGUUGUAUUAGCUAGUUGGUGAGGUAAAGGCUCACCAAGGCGAUGAUACAUAGCCGACCUGAGAGGGUGAUCGGCCACAUUGGGACUGAGACACGGCCCAAACUCCUACGGGAGGCAGCAGUAGGGAAUCUUCGGCAAUGGACGAGAGUCUGACCGAGCAACGCCGCGUGAGUGAAGAAGGGUUUCGGAUCGUAAAACUCUGUUGGUAGAGAAGAACGUUGGUGAGAGUGGAAAGCUCGUCAAGUGACGGUAACUACCCAGAAAGGGACGGCUAACUACGUG
rnacentral:rRNA from 1 species